rnacentral:rRNA from 1 species
AUUUUGGACAAUGGGGGCAACCCUGAUCCAGCCAUGCCGCGUGUGUGAAGAAGGCCUUCGGGUUGUAAAGCACUUUCGGACGGAACGAAAUCGCGCGAUCUAAUAAGCCGCGUGGAUGACGGUACCGGGUGAGGAAGCCCCGGCUAACGCUGUGCCAGCAGCCGCGGUAAUACAGAGGGGGCAAGCGUUGUUCGGAAUUACUGGGCGUAAAGGGCGCGUAGGCGGCCUUCUAAGUCGGACGUGAAAUCCCCGGGCUCAACCCGGGAACUGCGUCCGAGACUGGAAGGCUCGAAUCCGGGAGAGGGAUGUGGAAUUCCAGGUGUAGCGGUGAAAUGCGUAGAUAUCUGGAGGAACACCGGUGGCGAAGGCGGCAUCCUGGACCGGUAUUGACGCUGAGGCGCGAAAGCCAGGGGAGCAAAC